AAGAGCGUCUGGAAGUGGACGGUCGGGUUGGUUGCAUUCAACGGGAAUGCUCUUCGUGCCAUUGGACUGUACACUUAAACAUAGCUCAAUAGAAAAUUUACGGCCGCCUGGCUGUGCAGAGUGGGGACUCCCUUUCCCAGCCUCCUUGGUCUCGGUGCGUCCCUGGGACCAGGCUCCGGCCAACCAGACUGAGCAGAAGUGCCGAACAUCUACAGCAGCUAAACAGCGUGGGUAGAGGAAGAAUCCAGAGCAUUCCCCUCAACCACACCAGUGCCUUCAGGAGAAUGAAUCGAAGACCAGCCCCCCAGGGAACACAGGGCAGGAAAGAAUCAAGUCGAAGCUCUGCCCAUCCUGCACCUGAUGGGAACGGUCAGCGCGCUCUGGGCCAGGCACUGUCCCCAGCUCGGGGCUCAGGUCGUGGGACAACCCG